rnacentral:rRNA from 1 species
UUAGAGUUUGAUCCUGGCUCAAGACGAACUCUGGCGGCGCGCCUAACACAUGCAAGUCGAACGAGCGAGAGAGAGCUUGCUUUCUCGAGCGAGUGGCGAACGGGUGAGUAACGCGUGAGGAACCUGCCUCAAAGAGGGGGACAACAGUUGGAAACGACUGCUAAUACCGCAUAAGCCCACGGGUCGGCAUCGACCAGAGGGAAAAGGAGCAAUCCGCUUUGAGAUGGCCUCGCGUCCGAUUAGCUAGUUGGUGAGGUAAUGGCCCACCAAGGCAACGAUCGGUAGCCGGACUGAGAGGUUGAACGGCCACAUUGGGACUGAGACACGGCCCAGACUCCUACGGGAGGCAGCAGUGGGGAAUAUUGCACAAUGGGGGAAACCCUGAUGCAGCGACGCCGCGUGGAGGAAGAAGGUCUUCGGAUUGUAAACUCCUGUUGUUGAGGAAGAUAAUGACGGUACUCAACAAGGAAGUGACGGCUAACUACGUGCCAGCAGCCGCGGUAAAACGUAGGUCACAAGCGUUGUCCGGAAUUACUGGGUGUAAAGGGAGCGCAGGCGGGAAGACAAGUUGGAAGUGAAAUCUAUGGGCUCAACCCAUAAACUGCUUUCAAAACUGUUUUUCUUGAGUAGUGCAGAGGUAGGCGGAAUUCCCGGUGUAGCGGUGGAAUGCGUAGAUAUCGGGAGGAACACCAGUGGCGAAGGCGGCCUACUGGGCACCAACUAACGCUGAGGCUCGAAAGUGUGGGUAGCAAACAGGAUUAGAUACCCUGGUAGUCCACACCGUAAACGAUGAUUACUAGGUGUUGGAGGAUUGACCCCUUCAGUGCCGCAGUUAACACAAUAAGUAAUCCACCUGGGGAGUACGACCGCAAGGUUGAAACUCAAAGGAAUUGACGGGGGCCCGCACAGGCAGUGGAGUAUGUGGUUUAAUUCGACGCAACACGAAGAACCUUACCAAGUCUUGACAUCCUGCGACGAUGCUGGAAACAGUAUUUUCCUUCGGGACGCAGAGACAGGUGGUGCAUGGUUGUCGUCAGCUCGUGUCGUGAGAUGUUGGGUUAAGUCCCGCAACGAGCGCAACCCUUACUGUCAGUUACUACGCAAGAGGACUCUGGCAGGACUGCCGUUGACAAAACGGAGGAAGGUGGGGAUGACGUCAAAUCAUCAUGCCCUUUAUGACUUGGGCUACACACGUACUACAAUGGCGUUAAACAAAGAGAAGCAAGACCGCGAGGUGGAGCAAAACUCAGAAACAACGUCCCAGUUCGGACUGCAGGCUGCAACUCGCCUGCACGAAGUCGGAAUUGCUAGUAAUCGUGGAUCAGCAUGCCACGGUGAAUACGUUCCCGGGCCUUGCACA